GCUGGUGCUGCUCAGUGGUUAGAGUGUUUGGCCUGCACGCCAAAAGGUCACCGGUUUGAUUUCCGGUCAAGGGCA
rnacentral:tRNA from 1 species